rnacentral:rRNA from 1 species
GAAACCGUGUACGUACAAGCAGUGGGAGCACAGAGCAAUCUGUGUGACUGCGUACCUUUUGUAUAAUGGGUCAGCGACUUAUAUUCUGUAGCAAGGUUAACCGAAUAGGGGAGCCGAAGGGAAACCGAGUCUUAACUGGGCGUUAAGUUGCAGGGUAUAGACCCGAAACCCGGUGAUCUAGCCAUGGGCAGGUUGAAGGUUGGGUAACACUAACUGGAGGACCGAACCGACUAAUGUUGAAAAAUUAGCGGAUGACUUGUGGCUGGGGGUGAAAGGCCAAUCAAACCGGGAGAUAGCUGGUUCUCCCCGAAAGCUAUUUAGGUAGCGCCUCGUGAAUUCAUCUCCGGGGGUAGAGCACUGUUUCGGCAAGGGGGUCAUCCCGACUUACCAACCCGAUGCAAACUGCGAAUACCGGAGAAUGUUAUCACGGGAGACACACGGCGGGUGCUAACGUCCGUCGUGAAGAGGGAAACAACCCAGACCGCCAGCUAAGGUCCCAAAGUCAUGGUUAAGUGGGAAACGAUGUGGGAAGGCCCAGACAGCCAGGAUGUUGGCUUAGAAGCAGCCAUCAUUUAAAGAAAGCGUAAUAGCUCACUGGUCGAGUCGGCCUGCGCGGAAGAUGUAACGGGGCUAAACCAUGCACCGAAGCUGCGGCAGCGACACUGUGUGUUGUUGGGUAGGGGAGCGU